rnacentral:rRNA from 1 species
GACGAACGCUGGCGGCGUGCUUAACACAUGCAAGUCGAACGGAAAGGCCCUGCUUUUGUGGGGUGCUCGAGUGGCGAACGGGUGAGUAACACGUGAGUAACCUGCCCUUGACUUUGGGAUAACUUCAGGAAACUGGGGCUAAUACCGGAUAGGAGCUCCUGCUGCAUGGUGGGGGAUGGAAAGUUUCGGCGGUUGGGGAUGGACUCGCGGCUUAUCAGCUUGUUGGUGGGGUAGUGGCUUACCAAGGCUUUGACGGGUAGCCGGCCUGAGAGGGUGACCGGCCACAUUGGGAUUGAGAUACGGCCCAGACUCCUACGGGAGGCAGCAGUGGGGAAUAUUGCACAAUGGGCGGAAGCCUGAUGCAGCAACGCCGCGUGCGGGAUGACGGCCUUCGGGUUGUAAACCGCUUUCGCCUGUGACGAAGCGUGAGUGACGGUAAUGGGUAAAGAAGCACCGGCUAACUACGUG